UAAUACAUGCAAGUCGAGCGAGCGGAACUAACAGAUUUACUUCGGUAAUGACGUUAGGAAAGCGAGCGGCGGAUGGGUGAGUAACACGUGGGGAACCUGCCCCAUAGUCUGGGAUACCACUUGGAAACAGGUGCUAAUACCGGAUAAGAAAGCAGAUCGCAUGAUCAGCUUUUAAAAGGCGGCGUAAGCUGUCGCUAUGGGAUGGCCCCGCGGUGCAUUAGCUAGUUGGUAAGGUAAAGGCUUACCAAGGCGAUGAUGCAUAGCCGAGUUGAGAGACUGAUCGGCCACAUUGGGACUGAGACACGGCCCAAACUCCUACGGGAGGCAGCAGUAGGGAAUCUUCCACAAUGGACGCAAGUCUGAUGGAGCAACGCCGCGUGAGUGAAGAAGGUUUUCGGAUCGUAAAGCUCUGUUGUUGGUGAAGAAGGAUAGAGGUAGUAACUGGCCUUUAUUUGACGGUAAUCAACCAGAAAGUCACGGCUAACUACGUGCCAGCAGCCGCGGUAAUAC
rnacentral:rRNA from 1 species